CGUGUAGGCGGAUAUUUAAGUCAGGUGUGAAAACCCAGGGCUCAACCCUGGAUCUGCAUCUGAAACUGGGUAUCUUGAGGGCAGGAGAGGAAAGUGGAAUUCCUAGUGUAGCGGUGAAAUGCGUAGAUAUUAGGAGGAACACCAGUGGCGAAGGCGACUUUCUGGACUGCAACUGACGCUGAGGCGCGAAAGCGUGGGAGCAAACAGGAUUAGAUACCCUGGUAGUCCACGCCGUAAACGAUGAGUGCUAGGUGUAGGGGGUAUCGACCCCUCCUGUGCCGCAGUUAACACAAUAAGCACUCCGCCUGGGGAGUACGGCCGCAAGGUUGAA
rnacentral:rRNA from 1 species